rnacentral:lncRNA from 1 species
UGUGUAUUUGUGAAAUUAAUUUUACCAGCUAGAAGACCCGGGGGCUUUAUAAAUAUACAAAUUUGUCUCAAAUAAUAUAUAUAUAUAUGUACACAUACACACACACACACACACACGUAUUUAUGUUAUUUUUUACUAAGAAAAACUGGCGGGUGCGGUGGCUCACGCCUAUAAUCCCAGCACUUUGGGAGGCCGAGGCAGGCGGAUCACUAGGUCAGGAGUUCUAGACCAGCCUGGCCAAUAUGGUGAAACCCCAUCUCUACUGAAAAUACAAAAAUCAGCUGGGCGUAGUGGCGGGCACCUGUAGUCCCAGCUACUUGGGAGGCUGAGGCAGGAGAAUCUCUUGAACCAGGGAGGCAGAGGUUGCAGUGAGCCGAGAUCGCGCCACUGCACUCCAGCUUGGGCGACAGAGCGAGACUCCGUCUCAAAAAAAAAAAAAAAAAAAAAAUUAAAAAAGAAAACUGCUUUGGUAGAACAUGGCACACAAGGGAAGGAGGGAGGGAAUUAAGAAAAGGGUGUCUGCAAGAGGCUACCGGGUCUAGGGCACAGGAGAGGCCGGCGGGGCAUGCUGGGAAGGCAGCUGCCCGGAGCAUGCCGGGAUCGAGGUUGUCUGGGGCAUGCUGGGAAGGCUCCCAGGACUGUUUAUCCCGCUCCUGAGGGUGGGGAGGUACCCCCAGGCGCAGGCACACAGUAUAGUGGGGUCAAGCAUCUAGCUGACCUAAUUAAAAGCUCAUUACACUAGCCCAUCCCCAUUAACAGGCUGACCCACGUGCAAAUCCAUUAACGCAGGAGUCUUCCCUGCUUCCCAAAUCAGGAAUCCCAGCCGCAGCCCCGGGGCCUGGAAACUCCGGCCAGUUUAUUAAAGUGCCUUCCCCGCCUGUGACCAUCAGGCAAAGGGAGAAUCUUGCUGGGAAUCUCGCUUCUAGCCAAUGAGGAAUUUUCAGAAAAGCGAAAUGGAAUGCAUCAUUUUGACAUCUCUGCAGAUCUGUAUUCCGAAAGGUACUCAGAUAUCCACGAAGUCCUCCUCAUCUCACACCAUCGUUUCUCUCACUGGGCACAAUCCAGCUUUAAAGAAUUCAACACUUACUGGUCUUCAGAGGACUGUCAGCAAUGACAGCAACCAGGGAUGCUGA